UACGAAGGGGGCUCGCGUUGCUCGGAAUCACUGGGCGUAAAGGGUUCGUAGGCGGGUUUUUAAGUCAGAGGUGAAAUCCUGGAGCUCAACUCCAGAACUGCCUUUGAUACUGAAGAUCUUGAGUUCGGGAGAGGUGAGUGGAACUGCGAGUGUAGAGGUGAAAUUCGUAGAUAUUCGCAAGAACACCAGUGGCGAAGGCGGCUCACUGGCCCGAUACUGACGCUGAGGCACGAAAGCGUGGGGAGCAAACAGG
rnacentral:rRNA from 1 species